rnacentral:rRNA from 1 species
GGAGGGCGCGAGCGUUAUUCGGAAUUAUUGGGCGUAAAGCGCGUGUAGGCGGCUGGGCAAGUCGGAUGUGAAAGCCCGGGGCUCAACCCCGGAAUUGCAUUCGAAACUGCCCAGCUAGAGUCUCGGAGAGGAGGGCGGAAUUCCCGGUGUAGAGGUGAAAUUCGUAGAUAUCGGGAGGAACACCAGUGGCGAAGGCGGCCCUCUGGACGAUGACUGACGCUGAGACGCGAAAGCGUGGGGAGCAAACAGGAUUAGAUACCCUGGUAGUCCACGCCGUAAACGUUGGGUGCUAGGUGUCGCGGGUAUUGACCCCCCUGCGGUGCCGUCGUUAACGCAUUUAGCACCCCGCCUGGGGAGUACGGUCGCAAGACUAA